CAGGACUAAAGGACCCUUCAUACAUACCCUCUGCCUUUUAGAAGGCAGUGGUGAUCAUGACAGGCAUUUCCUGCUUCCCAAACAAAAUGACAGAGCCCCAACAUCUUUCCUACACCACCCCAUCUUUCUUCUCACCUAUCUAAUGUGAACUGGAUUCACUUACUUGAAAACAGUAGGACAGUCUUAUCUGCGGCUUCCUACAGAGAGGAGCAGUUAUCUGACACCGCCCAAGGUCUGGUUGUAGAAUUUGGGAAACCCUUAAUUUUCAGGGACACUUGUAGAAUCCACUAAUUAGGUCCUCCUCAAAGAGCUGGGACUGAUAUCAGCAUAAACCCACUGCAAUGAGCUCUACUGGGAAAUGCAAGAUAUUCUCCUCCUCCUUACUUGAAUUCUAUGGCGUUCUCUCAAGCCUUGAAAAAGGGGUGGAGGGGGAUAAGAGAAGAAAUAUCUCUUUAGCUAAACAAGUUACUAUGUAAAGCAAGAUUCACUCAUCUCAGGUGUGUCAGGUUCUGUGAGGAAUUAGUAGUUAAUGUUUAUUGUAGGCUCUAAACAGUAAAAGAACUCCACAUGUAGGAAAUGAUGCUUUCAAAAUCAAGGCACAAAACAAUUUGAGUUUCUAUACAAAAGCCUGGCUUGGCUUUUGCUACCUGUUUGUUCUGAAGAAACUUGAAAAUGUUUUAAGUAAUAUUUUUAAAUUGGUGUAAAUGGAUGAUUACUGAUCUUUCAAUAUAAUAAUUUAAAUUCCGUAACAACAAACAAACACACAUUGUGUGACUCUGAUAGCGUGAGGGAAUUACUUAUAAAAGAUUUUGCAUCAAUCAUUCACUCUUCCCUGAUGUCUGUUCCAUUUAUUCAUCUGUCCAGAAAUUGAGUGAUUAAUCUGUUUCCUUUCACCUGCUGGCAUAACUCUCCAAAGUUGUACAUGUGAUGUUGUUGUGUAUGCAAGACAAAGCAAGAGUAAUGUAGAGGCAAAUGGUAGAAAUCACCAGAAAAGUGAAUGGAAGAGACUAUGAUUUAUUAACACAAGAAAUCAGAAAAAGAACCCACAGUCCAAAAAUUGCCAAAUGGAUCAUUCUGAAUGAUAUGUUAACAUGAAACUGUUAAGCCUUCAAAUCAGAAAAGAGAUAAGAAUUUAAGAAUGGAGAGGAAAUUAUCUGAGUGUAUGUAACUUUUCUGUUUUGGCGGCCAGAAGAAUAGUCAUAUUGUUCCUAAUAUUGUCAACCAUUAACAGUCUGAAGACUGUCUACCUGCAUUCAGCAAAAAGGACUCUAAUUUAUGGAAGUGAUCAAAACAAUAUGAUUAGAUGUGAAAAUGAUUGAGCUCUGCACCAGGAAACCAGAUUCUAAGACGAGGGUAUCACCAACCUAUUCAGAGACUUAAUGUCAGAGUCACUUCAUUGUACCCAACCAUUCCUUUAUUUUUUUAAAGAUUUUUAUUUUUCUGCUGUACAGCAAAUAGACCCAGUCAUUCAUAUAUAUAUAUAUUCUUUUUCUCACAUUAUCCUACAUCAUAUUCCAUCACAAGUGACUUGAUAUAAUUUUCUGUGCUAUAUAGCAGGAUCUCAUUGCUUAUGUACUCCAAAUGCAACAGUUUACAUCUACUAACCCCACCAGUUCAUCCCACUCCCCAUUGGCAACCACAGGUCUCUUCUCCAAGUCCAUCAGUUUGUUUCUUUUCUGAAGAUAGGUUCAUUUGUGCCAUAUAUUUGAUUCCAGAUAUAACAGAUAUCAUAUAGCAUUUGUCUUUCUCUUUCUGACUUAUUUCACUUAGUAUGAGAGUCUCUAGUUCCAUCCAUGUUGCUGCAAAUGGCAUUAUUUUGUUCUUUUUUAUGGCUGAGUAGUAUUCCAUUGUGUAUAUGUACCACAUCUUCUUAAUCCAUUCAUCUGUCCGUGGACAUUUAGGUUGUUUCCAUGUCUUGGCUAUUGUGAAUAGUGCUGCAAUAAACAUAGAGGUGCAUGUGUCUUUUUCAAUGAAUGAUAUAUGCCCAGGAGUAGGAUUUCUGGGGUCAUUCUAUAGUUAGUUUUCUGAGGUACCUCCAUACUGUUUUCCAUAGUGGUUGUACAAAUUUAUAUUCUCACCAACAGUGAAGGAGGGUUCCCUUUUCUCCAAACCCCCUCCAGCAUUUGUUAUUUGUGGACUUAUUGAUGAUGGUCAUUCUGAUCAGUGUGAGGUUGUAACUCAUUGUAGUUUUGAUUUGCAUUUCUCUAAUAAUCCGUGAUGUUGAGUAUUUUUUCCAUGUGCCUGUUGGCCAUCUGUGUAUCUUCUUUAGAGAAAUGUCUAUUCAGGUCUUUUGCCCAUUUUUCAAUUGGGUUUUUUUGAUUUUGGUUUUUUUGUUUUGUUUUGUUUUGUUUUGUUUUGUUUGCUGUCGAGUUGUAUAAGUUGUUUGCACAUUUUAGAGAUUAAGCCCUUGUCUGUGGCAUCAUUUGAAACUAUUUUCUCCCAUUCUGCAGUUUGUCUUUCCAUCCAUUUCUGUGUUCAUUCAACAAAUACAUAUUGAAUGCUUAUUAGUAUGUGCUAACAGAAAUGACACAUUCUACAUUGUAACAAUUAACUUGAAAUGGCCAGUGGCCUCAAAUAGUUCUGAGUCUAGAAGGAAAGACAAAUAACAGAAAAGUUUGCAACAUGCCUUUAGUUUUAAGGUAGCACUGUCUACCAAGUAUUGUUGUAGCAAAGAAGGAAUCUUGCUCCAUAUUCCUAACUGUCAAAGAAAAUAUCACUGAAACAGUUCAACUUAACUAUUUAAGUCCGAAUGCAAAUACACCAUUAAAGAUGAAGUUUGAGGUCAGCUGUAAAAGCCCACCCAGCCUGCUUGAGUGGAAGGGGCUGAAUCUCCAGAUUCAUCCUCCAGCAGCUGUGUCUGGUGGGUACCAUAGCUCAUACAUGAAAAUCCUGAACUUUUCAAGAGCCUACAAAAUAAUUUUCACCUUGAAAAGAAAAAAAGCAAAAGACUAUGUGGAAUACAAUUAUUUUUAAUUAUAAAAUUAAAAAAUUAUGUUUUAAAUCCAUACAGUUAUUUCACUUUAUCCAUUGCAACUCAACAGGUCUGAUAAUAUAUAAAUUAUGUUUGAAGUGAGCUGUGUAAUAUAACAUAUUUGAAAUAAUGUGGCUGGGGUAAGUCUUGGGGUAAGAGUAUCCAGGACUCGCAAAAGUCUUUGAAUAGUCCCUGCAAAAAUAGGCAUGGAUUCAAAUCCUGGUUCAGUCACCUGUUGAUUAGGAAUUUGAGAAACUGUGUUCAAUGUCUUAAGCUUUAGUUUAGUAUUCUAUUACAUGGGACUAAUAGUAUCAAACAAAGUAUUAUAAUGUGGGAUUUCCCAUUGUGGCUCAGUGGUAAUGAACCUAACUAGUAUCCAGGAGGAUGUGGAUUUGAUCCUUGGCUUCACUCAGUGGGUUAAGGAUCCAGCAUUGCUAUGAGCUGUGUUGUAGGUCACAGAUAUGGGUCAGAUCCCACAUUGUUGUAGGGUAGGCCAGCAGCUGCAGCUCUGAUCUGACCCCCAGCCUGGGAACUUCCAUAUGCUGCAGGUGCAGCCCCAAAAAGAAAAAAAAAAUUAUAAUGAGUAAAAAAUACUUCAUUACAUUGAAAUCGCCUAGCACAAUGCUGGCACAUAUCAGUUUUUCAAUAAUUAUUUUAUUACUUUUGUUUUCUUCCCUAUAGAGUCCCCAAAGGCACUGCUGUUGAUAUAUUUUUGAACAUAUAUUUGCGGGAAAGGGCAUUUGGAAUCAGUCACCAAAUAAUACUUUAGCACACAAUUGAUCUGUUCAUGCUGAUGUCUGCUUCACUCUGCAUAUCUGAUUGUUGUUAUCCUCCCAAACAUUAGGCCCUGAGGAGAUUGUUAGGAAAAUAAUGAUAUAUCUAGAGAGGGCUUGACUUCCCAAGGUGGUGCUAUUGUG
rnacentral:lncRNA from 1 species